AUUGAACGCUGGCGGCAGGCCUAACACAUGCAAGUCGAGCGGUAGAGAGAAGCUUGCUUCUCUUGAGAGCGGCGGACGGGUGAGUAAUGCCUAGGAAUCUGCCUGGUAGUGGGGGAUAACGUUCGGAAACGGACGCUAAUACCGCAUACGUCCUACGGGAGAAAGCAGGGGACCUUCGGGCCUUGCGCUAUCAGAUGAGCCUAGGUCGGAUUAGCUAGUUGGUGAGGUAAUGGCUCACCAAGGCGACGAUCCGUAACUGGUCCGAGAGGAUGAUCAGUCACACUGGAACUGAGACACGGUCCAGACUCCUACGGGAGGCAGCAGUGGGGAAUAUUGGACAAUGGGCGAAAGCCUGAUCCAGCCAUGCCGCGUGUGUGAAGAAGGUCUUCGGAUUGUAAAGCACUUUAAGUUGGGAGGAAGGGUUGUAGAUUAAUACUCUGCAAUUUUGACGUUACCGACAGAAUAAGCACCGGCUAACUCUGUGCCAGCAGCCGCGGUAAUACAGAGGGUGCAAGCGUUAAUCGGAAUUACUGGGCGUAAAGCGCGCGUAGGUGGUUUGUUAAGUUGGAUGUGAAAUCCCCGGGCUCAACCUGGGAACUGCAUUCAAAACUGACUGACUAGAGUAUGGUAGAGGGUGGUGGAAUUUCCUGUGUAGCGGUGAAAUGCGUAGAUAUAGGAAGGAACACCAGUGGCGAAGGCGACCACCUGGACUAAUACUGACACUGAGGUGCGAAAGCGUGGGAGCAAACAGG
rnacentral:rRNA from 1 species